GGAGAGGUGGCUCUGAGGUUCAGAGCACUGUCUGCUAUUCCAGAGGUCCUGAGUUCAAGUCCCAGCAACCACA
rnacentral:tRNA from 1 species